AUUGAACGCUGGCGGCAUGCUUUACACAUGCAAGUCGAACGGCAGCGCGGGCUUCGGCCUGGCGGCGAGUGGCGAACGGGUGAGUAAUGCAUCGGAACGUGCCCAGUAGUGGGGGAUAGCCCGGCGAAAGCCGGAUUAAUACCGCAUACGACCUGAGGGUGAAAGCGGGGGGCCGAAAGGCCUCGCGCUAUUGUAGCGGCCGAUGUCGGAUUAGCUAGUUGGUGGGGUAAAGGCUUACCAAGGCGACGAUCCGUAGCUGGUCUGAGAGGACGACCAGCCACACUGGGACUGAGACACGGCCCAGACUCCUACGGGAGGCAGCAGUGGGGAAUUUUGGACAAUGGGGGCAACCCUGAUCCAGCCAUGCCGCGUGCGGGAAGAAGGCCUUCGGGUUGUAAACCGCUUUUGUUCGGGAAGAAAUCCUCUGGGCUAAUACCCCGGGGGGAUGACGGUACCGGAAGAAUAAGCACCGGCUAACUACGUG
rnacentral:rRNA from 1 species